GAAGCCUGUUAUGAUGACUUAAACACAUUUCUUCUGACAGGUUGGCAGAAGAAAUGCUCUCCAGAAUGUUUCUAUAACCUGACUAAUUUCUAUAGUGCCUAAUGUCUGAGUUGUGUUCAUGGUAAUUAUUUCUGACAUUUUUAUGUUUUAUGUUGUAGGUGGUGAAAAAUGCUCUCCAGGGAAAACCGGGUGGACAAAGUAUUUUGGUGGGUCUGGCUGGGGAAAACCAGGCAUUCUUCUGUUGGUUCAUGUCCUACAUCCUUCAUCCAAAGGCCACAAGAAGAAUCCAAAACAGCUCAUGUCAAACUGUGGACCAUGUUUUCAGAUAUGUGCAGGUUAAUCCUACUUAUUUGUAGAAUCACUUUCUCAUUGGCUUUGUUUGCUAUCUGAAUGUAGCUGUGCUACUAAAUAUGUGUAAUAAUUUUUAUUAUUCGUCUUCUUAUAAUUAUGUCAAAGAUCCAAGCCAGCUCUCGAGAACUGGACGUGAGCACCCUUGGUUUAUUAUUUUUGUUAGCAGCUAAAGCUAGAUGAAUGAGAUGCCACUUUGAGUGGCAUCUCAUUCAGAUUAGUUGUUAUCCUUUUCUUUUCGUUGAAAUAUUUCUGUUUCCAUAUUAUUUAGAAUCUAAAUUGUAUUGUCUAUUCUUUUUCCAUGUUGGAGGGUGCCGUCAUCUGCAUCUAAUAAAAUGAUCGCGUGACUCCAAGCCUGGCUGUGACUCCGAGUUUCCUUGUGACACUGUGGAUCUAUACCCAUGGGUGCCCAAGUCCAUACUCACCUGCCUCCGUUGAAAGACUUCUUCAGUACCUGUGUGCUCCCGCUAGCAGUCCGCUCGCUGCUUGUGAUGCCUUCAAGUCCAACGUACCUGUUCGCCCUCCACCGCACGGACGACUCCCUUCUCCAGUCCUCUCUCUGAGCAACCCCUACUUGGACUGUGUGUCCGGUGAGAACUCCAACAAGGCUCAAAAGACCCAGACCUUCAGUAUCCAACUCCCUGGCAGCUACGUUUGUCCCAAGAGUAAGCAAAACAACUUUCAAGUUAAUAACUGUAAUUUACCACGACCUCAAACUCACCACCAGGUCUGUUUUCUCCAGUGCCCUGGUGUUCCAGCGAUCCACUAUUUAUCUGAGACCUUGCCGUUGACUUGCCUGCUUGUCAAUAAACCUUUUUAAACUGAUUUUUCUUUUCCUGACUUGUGUUAUGCAUGUGGGUUCGAAAUCUUAAAACAAACAUGACAAUUAUGAGUCCCAGAUAUACCCUCUAUGGUACUGGGGAGUAAUGCAGCAGACCUGUUUAGAGCUCUGACAUCAAUCCAAAAGCCAAUGGCAUUAUUACAAAGCAGUUUUUCAGUGAUGGAGUCUGCUCUCAUGUUCUGCUCACAUUUGGAAAUGUAUCGAAUGGCAUAUUUAAAUUUUGCACUGGUAAGUUUUUUAUAAUCUAGGAGAGUCCCAUCUCUUGGUCUACCUGCUUGUACCCACAUCUUAUAUGCUUGUUUAGCGUCUGCAUGGUAUCCUGACACAUGUUUAUUCCAACCUGGCCUGAUGUUAUUAGUCUUUCUGCAUGUAAGGUAUGGUCUUGUACUCAUACAAAGCAACCACGAUGCCAUCAUACAUAGCAUGGAGAUCUAUACAGUGAGAAAUAUCACUGCAAUUAACAUCUGAGCACAUAAUAGAUUGAAGAGAAAGACUUAUUUUACUCAAGAAUAUCAGUUUUCAUAUGAUAUGCUAAUAAGUCAUCUGUAGAGAGUCUGGACCAUUGAAAUCUAACUGAGGGGGCACCAUUUACCCCCCAUAUAAACUCUGGAAGACUUUGAAUAUCCAGCAUCAUUAAAAAUGGAACAUGAUCUGACAGAAUAUUCAUAUAAGUUCUAUUUCAUCCCUACUGACCGCCAGAGGGCGGUUCUGAAAGCACUGAAUGUUCCCUUCGCGCAUGCGCCGUUCGGGCAAUGAUGUCAGUCACACCUGUGACACAUCGGAUGAUCAAUCAGAGGCUAUAUAGCAUGACGUCAUCCGAGGCUCUGUUCUUCUUUUCUUCUCGCGUGCGGUUCGCUUUGUAGGGCGUAGGACUUUUGGAUUUCUGGAUCUUUUCGCCGUCGUUGGAUGCCCGACUGCCUGUUGGCCGGAGUUGUGAUGUAUCGCCCUCCGAGGGCUGCGACGGAUCUUCGUACUGUUUGCUGGUGAUGACAGCGUUUAGGCCUCUCCCAACUCGCAGCUUAUAACCACACAUGUUGGAGCUUAGCCAACGGUGUUAGUCUUUCUAAAUUUGACGUUUUGUUUUAAUUGGUCACGGUAGCGUCUCGCCCCCUCUCCCAAUUUCAGCCGAUCUUGUUGAUCGCUGACUCUUCGUUUUCUGCUUUAAUUGGUGACAGCAGUGUUCUCCGGCCCCUCUCCCAAUCUUGAAGCGUUUUUUCAUCCUAUACUGGACGUAGCUGACCACGUCUGCCUGUUGUUGGUCCGCUGGAUUUUUUCUGUAAUUGGUGACGGUAGCGUCUCGCCCCCUAUCGCAAUUUCAGCCUAUUGUAGCUUUGUGUUGAGCUCACCUGACUCUUCGUUUGCUGCUGUGAUUGGUGACGGUAGCGUUCUCCCCCACCCCCUCUCCCAAUCUUGAUUUGUUUUGCAUCCUAUGCUGGAUGUAGCUGACCAUGUCUGCCUAUCAUUGGUCCAUGUUUUUUUUUUUUUUUGUAAUUGGUGAUGGUUGCGUCUCACCACCUCUCCCAAUUUCAGCCGAUCUGGUGAUCAUAGUUUUGUGUUGGGCUCACCUGACUUUCCGCUUGUUGCUCUAAUUGGUGAUGGCAGCGUUUUCGCCCCCUCUCCCAGUUUUAUUUUUUUGACCCUUAUUCUGGGCAUGGCUGACAAUGUCAGCCCCUUUGCUGCUCUUUAUUGUGAUUGGUGAUGGUAGCGCUUUCCGCCCCCUCUCCCAAUCAUAGUCUGCUCUGUCUGCCUGUGGUGGGAGUCACUUUAGUUUUGGCCAUGAAUGGCUCCCACUGUUGUUUGGAUUGCAGGGCUGUGCUUCAGGCAGAUGAUGGUCGUGUCCUGUGUCCGGCCUUCCUCAGGUAUGAUCACCUGGUUGAAGCCCUGUCAGACAACUGAUGAACUGCAGCUACAUGCCCCAUGCGGUGAAUGUGGCUUAACUGGCCCAGUUACGCCCCAUGUGUGUAAAUGACCUUCCGCCUUCUGGUCAGGUGGCCACUCCUAGGUGCUCUAAGCACAGAACUGAGGCCACAAUUUCUGGCUCCUCCUAAGAAGAGGCGAGCUUAGUCUGACCACGGUCUUUCCGCAAGGGUUGAACGAUUGUCUGCAGAGUUGGCGGAGAUGAAAUCCCUUUUUCAGGCACCUCAGGAGGAUGCUCCCAUGACUGCGUUCUCUUCCCCACCUAUGCCAGAGUUGGCUGUGGAGGAAGAUGUGCUGUCUUUGGCUGCCUCUGCCUCUCACUUUGGUAAUGAGGAGGAGGUAUAGUCGUCUCGCACUCCCUUUUCUAUCCAUCAGAGGAGUACCUAAGAGAGUUGCAUGCUUGUCGGUGGGACCCUAGAGCCUAUUCGCGUCUCUCCACAGGUGGUCAGGUCAACCCAGGGGCUGUGGGCAGAGGAAGUGAGGCCGCCAGACCAGCCAUCAGAUAUUUUUUUUUCCCAUCAGCAGCUUAUUUACUGGGUUGCUUUCGCUGUGGAUCCAUGGGUGGUUGCCACUCUGACCCAUGGUUACUGGCUACAGUUCCGGUGGCGGCCUCACAUCUCACAUUGGGUCAGGCUGACCGUCAUCACCAAACUGGGGAAAGCUCAAGUCCUGGAUCAGGGCCCUCCUGGCCGGGGGUGCAAUUGAGGCAGUGGAUCCUCUGCGGCAACCCAGAGGAUAAUAAUCAUUGUAUUUCCUUGUGCCAACAAGGACAGGCGGAUUUUGUCCCAUUUUGGAUAUCAGGGGACUCAACAGUAUUAAAGGUCCUGCCUUUUCACAUCCUCACGACGGCAGAGGUUCUGCGAGCUGUGACUAAGGGAGAAUGGCUUAUAUCAAUCGACCUUACAGAUGCGUACCUUCAUGUACCUACCACGGUGGAACAUCACCGCUUUUUCAGGUUUGCCUAUCGGGGUCGCCACUGGCAGUUCCAUGUGCUCCUGUUUGGCCUCUCGGUCUCCCCGAACUUGUUCACUCGGUGCGUGAGGGCAGCCCUCUCUCUUCUGCAGGGCCACACAUGUAGGUUCUGCCAUACCUCGACGAUCGGCUUCUCUGCGCCACGUCUCGAGAACAUGCAUCUCGCGAUACGAGUCGCCUGCUCGCUUAUGUGCCCCGGUGGGACCUCAAGAUGAACUUGAAGAGCUGUCUGGUUCCAUCGCAGGCAACCCUUUUUCUUGGGUUGCUUCUGGAUUCUACCCCCACGACAGCCAACCCAUUUGUCCAGAGGGUGGAUGACAUUCUCCAGCUGAGUCAAUUCAGGCUGGACAGGCAGCUUCCUUGCAUCGCCUUCCUGCAGCUGCUGAGCAAACUAACAUGGUUACUCAGGUUGUACCCUUGGUCUGCUGCCACUGCCUCCUUUGCAACUCCUGGAGAGUGAUCCCUCCAUAGCGACAUGGUCCGCCUGAUCUGGAACCUUUUCGAUGAGGCAGAGGUCGACCUGUUUGCCACAGAGGAGUCAUCCCUUUGUACUCUAUGGUUUUCCCUUACAGGGGCCACAGGUGCACUGGUUCAGUGCACCUUUUGAAAUCCAGAAUAGAAUUUCAGAUUCUCCUUCUCACAUCCCUCAAUAAUCAGUUCCAUCAAACAUCAGAUCUGAUUGGUCCAUAUGUUCCUAACAGAGAACUUCUCUCUCUGACUGCAGGUUUGCUGCUGGUUUCUAGAAUUUCUGAUAGUAGAAUGGCAGACAGAUCUAUAGUUCAAGCUCCUGUGCUGUGGAACCAGCUCCCAGUUUCAGUCUGUGAGGCAGACACCCACUUUUUCCUCACUUCCUACUUCUCCUGCUCUCCUUUUUAUAUUAUUUGCGGUUAUUUCAGCUGUUAAAUUUUUGUUUCUGUUAUUUUUCUCUCCAUAGAAACUACAUCUGGUCUGGCUUUGUGGUUGGCUGUUCUACCUUCCUGGAGGAGGGGAUUGGCUGUGAUAAUGCUGCCAUGAGUGUGAUGGUUACAUGGUCCCCUGUGUUUUUGUUUUGAGACCAUCCAUGUCAUGUCCCUCAUCUCCCUUAUUCCCUGCAGCUGCGUCGCUCCCUGAUUGUUUCCCUUCUUAAGCCUUUCUCAGUCACCCCCAUGCUGCCAGAUUAUCGAACGCUUUCAGCAAGUAGUUUCUAGCUCUCCCUUCUCGCCCUCUGUGUUACUGCCUCACCCUUGUUCUCUGGAUUUGCCCCUUUUGCCUUACAUUUGUUGGACUGCUGUUUUGCCUACUAGGAUCUCAACCCAAGCCUGUUUAUUUGAUGCUGCUCACGCCCACUCCCUCCAACUCUGCUCUCUUCCUCAUUGUGUAUGACCUUGGCCCGGCUGACCAAGAACUUGGAUCUGGACUUAAUACCUCUGAUUCCAUGCUGCCCUGCUUCAGCGCUUCUCCCUCCGCCCCUCUCUCCUAUCCAGUGUGCUGCUCUUAGCUGUCUUCAGUAAAGAUCUGAGGUUUCUGCUCACUUCUGUCUCAUGGCUGAUUUCGAGUCCUCCUAGUGUGCUUUUACAAUGACCUAACUGUUCUCUCUGUCCUGCUAUUAACUUUUUACUUUAAUCAACAUCCGAAAUCAUCCUGCAUCCAGCAUGCUGUUCUGUUUGACAUCACGGGAAAGCUCAUAAUCCACACUUUCAGAAUCUGUAAAUAUCUUGAAUGCCCCUGAGGAGACUUGCUCAUGGUUUUGCUGUGCACAGUCGUAUAUAUCUGUGAUUGAAAUGAAAUAUUUUUUUGUAAAGUGCCUCCAGAUGAUAUUUGUUGUGAAUUAGUGCAAUUAAAUAAACUGAAUUGAUUUCUUGAUUCAAUAUUUCAGGCAGUAAUGAAUCGAUUACAGUUGAUUCAUGAUUUAAAAGGACAGCUGUACUUUUUCAAACAGAACCAGUUUGGUUUUGAUAGUCAUUUCCCCCAUUUCCACCUGAAGAACAUCUCCAGGAUUAGAGGACUUAUGUCUCAGCGCGAUCUA